rnacentral:rRNA from 1 species
AUACGGAGGGGGCAAGCGUUACUGGGAAUCACUGGGCGUAAAGCGCGCGCAGGCGGCUUGAUAAGUUGGAUGUGAAAGCCUACGGCUCAACCGUAGAACUGCAUCCAAAACUGUCAGGCUAGAGUGUGGGAGAGGAAGAUGGAAUUAGUUGUGUAGGGGGAAAAUCCGUAGAGAUAACUAGGAAUACCAAAAGCGAAGGCAAUCUUCUGGAACACUACUGACGCUGAGGCGCGAAGGCGUGGGGAGCAAACAGGAUUAGAAACCCGAGUAGUCC